GAUGAAGAACGUAGCGAAAUGCGAUAAGUAAUGUGAAUUGCAGAAUUCAGUGAAUCAUCGAAUCUUUGAACGCACCUUGCGCCCUUUGGCCAUUCCGAAGGGCAUGCCUGUUUGAGUAUCAUGAACACCUCAACUCUCAUGGCUCGCCAUGAUGAGCUUGGACUUUGGGGGUCUUGCUGGCCUGUGGUCGGCUCCUCUCAAAUGGAUCAGCUUGCCAGUGUUUGGUGGCAUCACAGGUGUGAUAACUAUCUGCGCUUGUGGUUUUCCAUCAGAUAACCUUCAGUGAUGGAGGUUCGCUGGAGCUCAUAAACGUCUCCCCUAAGCGGGGACUGCCCUUUGAAUGUUUGAUCUCAAAUCAGGUAGGACUACCCGCUGAACUUAAGCAUAUCAAUAAGCGGAGGA
rnacentral:misc_RNA from 1 species